GCCAGGCGUGGUGGGGCAUGCCUGUAGUCCCAGCUACUCAGGAGGCUGAGGUUGGAGGAUCACUUGAGCCCAGGAGAUCAAGGCUGCAGUGAGCUAUGAUCACACCACUGCACUCCAGCCUGGGCGACACAGUGAGACAUUAUCUCAU
rnacentral:sRNA from 1 species